rnacentral:rRNA from 1 species
UAUGGGUGUGCCAGCCGCCGCGGUAAUACGUAGGGUGCGAGCGUUAAUCGGCAUUACUGGGCGUAAAGGGUGCGCAGGCGGUUGAGUAAGACAGAUGUGAAAUCCCCGAGCUUAACUCGGGAAUGGCAUAUGUGACUGCUCGACUAGAGUGUGUCAGAGGGAGGUGGAAUUCCACGUGUAGCAGUGAAAUGCGUAGAUAUGUGGAAGAACACCGAUGGCGAAGGCAGCCUCCUGGGACAUAACUGACGCUCAGGCACGAAAGCGUGGGGAGCAAACAGG